AGUGAACGCUGGCGGUAGGCCUAACACAUGCAAGUCGAGCGGCAGCACAGUAAGAGCUUGCUCUUACGGGUGGCGAGUGGCGGACGGGUGAGGAAUACAUCGGAAUCUACUUUUUCGUGGGGGAUAACGUAGGGAAACUUACGCUAAUACCGCAUACGACCUACGGGUGAAAGCAGGGGAUCUUCGGACCUUGCGCGAUUGAAUGAGCCGAUGUCGGAUUAGCUAGUUGGCGGGGUAAAGGCCCACCAAGGCGACGAUCCGUAGCUGGUCUGAGAGGAUGAUCAGCCACACUGGAACUGAGACACGGUCCAGACUCCUACGGGAGGCAGCAGUGGGGAAUAUUGGACAAUGGGCGCAAGCCUGAUCCAGCCAUACCGCGUGGGUGAAGAAGGCCUUCGGGUUGUAAAGCCCUUUUGUUGGGAAAGAAAAGCAGCAGGUUAAUACCCCACUGUUCUGACGGUACCCAAAGAAUAAGCACCGGCUAACUUCGUG
rnacentral:rRNA from 1 species